rnacentral:rRNA from 1 species
UACGUAGGGGGCAAGCGUUGUCCGGAAUCAUUGGGCGUAAAGCGCGUGUAGGCGGUUACGUAAGUCUGCUGUGAAAGUCGGAGGCUCAACCUCCGAAAGCCGGUGGAUACUGCGUGACUAGAGUACGGAAGAGGAGAGUGGAAUUCCUGGUGUAGCGGUGAAAUGCGCAGAUAUCGGGAAGAACACCCGUGGCGAAGGCGGUUCUCUGGGACGGUACUGACGCUGAGACGCGAAAGCGUGGGGAGCGAACAGG